CCUACGGGAGGCAGCAGUGAGGAAUAUUGGUCAAUGGACGCGAGCCUGAACCAGCCAAGUAGCGUGAAGGAUGACUGCCCUACGGGUUGUAAACUUCUUUUAUAUAGGAAUAAAGUGAUGCACGUGUGCCUUUUUGUAUGUACUUUAUGCAUAAGGAUCGGCUAACUCCGUGCCAGCAGCCGCGGUAAUACGGAGGAUCCGAGCGUUAUCCGGAUUUAUUGGGUUUAAAGGGAGAGUAGAUGGUUUGUUAAGUCAGUUGUGAAAGUUUGCGGCUCAACCGUAAAAUUGCAGUUGAAACUGGCAGUCUUGAGUACAGUAGAGGUAGGCGGAAUUCGUGGUGUAGCGGUGAAAUGCUUAGAUAUCACGAAGAACUCCGAUUGCGAAGGCAGCUCACUAAACUGCCACUGACACUGAGGCUCGAAAGUGUGGGUAUCAAACAGGAUUAGAUACCCUUGUAGUC
rnacentral:rRNA from 1 species